UUAUAUGACUGUAAGUCAUUCCCUUCAAAUGCUAUUGAAGUUAGAAACGUGUUUAACAAUGUCGUAUGUAACUUUAGAGACGGUCCCUUAAUUUCCUCAUAUCCGCGAAUAUCGAGCGUCCAACGUAAAGUCAACUUUAUUCCAGUGGAAUACGUAAGAAAAAAAACAUGAUGUGCAAUAUAAACCCACAAUCCUCUCGCUCUCUGUUAUUGAUUAGCGUUCUGUUGGCAUGACAACAUAUCUUGGUGAUUCAGAGUUCCUUGUUCCCUGGCAUUUCCGGUUCCCAUUUCCGUUCAGUUUAUAGAGGCGAGUCGGCGGUGGAGAUCGCGUUCAGUGAUCAACAUUAGCUGGUGGCUGAAUGAUAUGGAUAUGUAUAUGAUGUAUAUGUAUGUUGAGCCGCGGUAUCUGUGAGUAAUCAUAUAACUUCGCGUCUGGUGUUUAUUCAACCAAAUUUUAAAUACACCUCUCUUUUUUCACAUUGGGACUUGGUAGAUUUAGUUUGUAUUAAGGUGAGAGUGGAGAGUUGAGCAUUUAAUCUUCUCUAAGUCAAACUCCUAUCCCAAGACGCUACAUGUGACGCUGCUGCUGUUUUGUUUUACUUCACUGCUCUAUCGUUAUUCUUUCUUGUUCUCUUUAUUGUUUUAUUUAUUGUUUUGUUUAUGGGCUGGUUCGGUUCCGGGCUUUGCUUUUGCUGUCUUGCUUAGCAGCACGCUUCGGCUGUCUGUUUACGUGCCUUGCCUCCGCUGUGUUGCAUAUCAGCUUUAUUUUAUUGCUGGUGUAAUUUUUUAUUUAGUUUUUCUCUAUUUGUGUUGUCUUUUCCUAAAAUUUUUCGUUGUGCUAGUGUCUGUUUUGUUGACUUUAGUUUUGGAUGUAUUUUUGGUUUGUUUUGCAACCACAUGUAGUGUAAGAGGUAAAUGAGUGUUUUCCAGCCUCACACCUGUUCUUUCAGGUUUGUUUCUCCACAUAACCACCUUACUAUUGAUGGGGUGUAUGCUAAGCCUUCUUGUCUAUAGUGCUAUACUUUUCAUUUUAUUUACUGUUUACUAUAAUUCUGGUUCUGCGUAGGUGCUGUUAACUGCCUCUAUUUUAUGUGGUGGUGUCAGUGGGCCUGGGUGUUCUAGCCACCACACCUGUGUCUGUAAUAUGUUUUUCUUUUUAUGGUUUAGUGUUUGUGUAAUUUUGGCUUAACGGGUGUUUUCUUUCUCUCCAGGAGCCAGUGAGUCUUGGUGUGGGACAGGGGAGGCUAGCUGCAUUUAUUCAGUGGUGUGUGCUUCCCAGCAUCCUCAGUGUGCCAGCACAAUAACUUCCUUAUGGUGUAGGUAGUGUUUGAUGAUUUUGCUGUGACUUGAGGUGGGUUUGGAUGACCUCCCGAGCUGUAGCUGGCCUGUCUUGUUCCUGCCAAGCCUGGGCCUGGAGAAGUGCUUAGUUUUAAAAGCCUUAUCGUGCUUCAUGGGAGAGCGAUUUUAUAUUUGUAUGUUAAGUUUUAAUGAUGCUUAAGUGUCAUAAUAAAAUGUCAUUUUUAUAUUCGUA